rnacentral:lncRNA from 1 species
UGACUCAGAGCCGCGUUCACGGCCUACCGACGCCGCGAAUUACGUCCAGGUGUGCAAAAGGUAACAACGCGAGAGAACAGCGUGUCAACAAUUUUAUUAAAAUACUGAGAAAUAGGAGGAUUGAGAGCGAUAUAAACGGAGGACAACAUAUUCUGAAUCACAGCGCAUCACGACUUUUGAGGUGAGUAAAAGAGAAGAGAAACACGAAGACGCUGAGUGGAUGAUGCUAAUGCUAACAGGCUAACCGCGCUCGUGUUUAAGCCUAAUAUGCUAGUGAACAGGUACUGCUAACUGUUGUAGUACUUUAUCGUUUAUUAAAUCAAAAUGAUUGAAUUGGAGUUUAAGUUUUAAAUUUAAAAAUGUUUUUACACAAAUGUGGUCAAGUUUAACCAAAAAUGAACUCAAAUUCUGAUGAUUUAUUUGUUGUAUUUAAUGGUAAAGGCACCCACAGAGUCGAUGUUUGACACAUUUAUACUCUGUACGUUUCACCUACAGGUCCGUCAGGUACCAGCUGAGACGGCUGGUCAUUUACGAAGUUCCUGGUCCCAGGCAGUGAUCGGACGUUUACAGGAUGUUGAAAACCAUUUGACCAAUUGCAAACGAGGCCCCUCAUAUCACAGGUAAUGUGACUGGUUCAUUUUGCGUGUCGAUUUUCAAAAUAAAAGCACGACAAAAACACAGCGCUUUGUGGGUUGUAUCAGGUGGUAGUUUGGUUCGUGCGUUUGUAGCAGAGUUUGGAGUAUAAUCAGCAGUGGUAGUUGUUGAAAGUAGAGGGUUAGUUGCAGUAGAAGUAGUAGUAGAAUUAGUAGUAGAAGUAGUAGGAGUAGUUUAAUGGGGCAAGCAAGAAAGAGAAGAACUGAUGACCCCCUCCACUCCCUGCCCCCCUCCCAACAUACAGUACUGUCACCCAAACACUUCACUUCCAACACACAACACCACCUAAUGUGUUUAAUCAAUAAUGAAAACUGAUAGACAUGAAAUGCACAAAUAGAAAAUAUUGAUUAGGAAUAAUAAGGGAGAGCAGUUAUAUCAAGACUUUAUUGUUAUUGUACCGGGAUUAAACACUUCUUUGAUUCUUCUGGUGCGUUCACUGACCUGCUGGAGCCAUGACCAUCAUCCAAACCAGCAACGUACAAAUAUCAACAUAAAAGUGGAUGAUUUUUAAGGUCCCCAAAUAAACAUAAACUAAAACAAAUAAAGUGUAUUUGAGAAACCAGAAGAGUUUCAGUGUCAUGACCCUCAGAGGUCACAUUUUCAGUGGUUUAAUAAUUCAUACGGUCAUUCUGGUGUUCCUGAACGUAACUCUGCACAGAGGGAUCUUUAAUGUAACUUUCCUUUACGAGACAGUAAAUUUAUAGGUUUGGUUUACAUCGUGUUUUAACAGAUCAUCUCUCUCCAUAUGUAACACACACGUUUCUCUGAGCUGCUGAAAUACCCCAGAGUAACUCAUCCCAGAAAAUAAAUGAGAUUUUAUUCAAACAAAACACAGAUUUCUGGUAAAACAACAGAGAAAUACUUCACUGUGUUCAUGCGUCGUGCUGAACAGGAAACACGGUUGUCAUGAGGAAUCUUGACACAACUCUCAUAUUUGCGAACAGAAACACAACAGGUGGGCGGCAGCAGCUGUUCACAGGAUGAGCCGUGUUAACGUAAAUAUGAUCAGACCUGAAGACAUCAGACCGACAUCUGUCUGAGCAAAGACACUGUGAGCUCCACAACAGCUACAGAGAUACAGAUGAUGACUAGGUGAUAAAAACAAGUAUGAUUAUUAUUGUUACCAGAUCAUAUCAGACUUUAGUGACGCUCUGUCAUGGAGCUGCCUGCUCCUCCUGAAACCACACCCUCCUGCUCACACCUGUAACAUGUUUGCUAAUCACCUGCCAGUCCUUAAACCAGUCAGUCUGAGCUGUUUUUGUCAGUUCGUAGUUUGUGCUUCU